rnacentral:rRNA from 1 species
UACGAAGGGGGCUAGCGUUGCUCGGAAUCACUGGGCGUAAAGCGCACGUAGGCGGGUCUUUAAGUCAGGGGUGAAAUCCUGGAGCUCAACUCCAGAACUGCCUUUGAUACUGGAGACCUUGAGUUCGGGAGAGGUGAGUGGAACUGCGAGUGUAGAGGUGAAAUUCGUAGAUAUUCGCAAGAACACCAGUGGCGAAGGCGGCUCACUGGCCCGAUACUGACGCUGAGGUGCGAAAGCGUGGGGAGCAAACAGG